CUCGCUCACAACCCUCAACACAUGCCGAUCGACGCCUCACCUCCCUCCCUCAACACACGCCGGCGCCGACGCCGACGCCUCACCAGUGACUCCCUCAGCCGCCGCGACAGUUCUCCUCACCGCCACUCAGUUCUCCUCGCGCUGUGAGUUCCACCUGUUCAUCGAUUCACCGCCGCAAUGCCCUCAUCCGCCGUGUCCACCGCCACAGUUAUCAGCCUUCGCCGCCGCUGCUUCGUAUCAGGAGCGGAUCUGUUAGAGUAAAGAACAUGAAAAGGAUAACAGAAAGAUAAAGUGGUUUAUUGAACAGGGAUGGAGUUGCGGGCAUAACCUGAUGAUUUAUUGCUUAGCUGGGCAGUAUAUGAGGGUGGUCAGCAGAGAGGAGAAAGCUCCCUACAUUGCUAAGGCAUAGCAGCGCAAGGAGGACUACAACAGACAGAUGGAA